rnacentral:rRNA from 1 species
UACAGAGGUCCCAAGCGUUGUUCGGAUUCACUGGGCGUAAAGGGUGCGUAGGUGGUGAGGUAAGUCGGAUGUGAAAUCUCCAAGCUCAACUUGGAAACUGCAUUGGAAACUACCUUGCUAGAGGAUUUGAGGGGGGAUUGGAAUACUUGGUGUAGCAGUGAAAUGCGUAGAUAUCAAGUGGAACACCAGUGGCGAAGGCGAGUCUCUGGACAUUUCCUGACGCUGAGGCACGAAAGCCAGGGGAGCAAACGGG